AGAAAGAAAAAGAAAGGAAAAAGAAAGAGAGAAAGAAAAAAAAUGGAACAAACAACACAAUUUUGUUUGGAUGUGGAGUUGGUGGGAUUGGUUCUCAAUCCUUCUACUUCUUUUGUUCCUGCUCUUGGAGAACAAUAUACAAUUACUGUUUCCCAGGAUUUCCUUCAAUUUACUUCGGAAUUGAUGCUGUUGCAUGAAACGUGGGGAACACCGCCUCAGACGACUUUUUUUGUGCAAAAUGCUCUCAAACCUCUUGUUGGUCUUUGUCAUUCUUAUCCAAAAGGGAAAAAAGGAAAGAAAAAGUUUAUGGGUUC
rnacentral:RNase_P_RNA from 13 species